rnacentral:rRNA from 1 species
GCUGGUAAAAUGUGAUGUACCUAGUAGUAUUAAUCAUUAAUAUGAGAUUAACUAAGUUAAUUAAAGUUCUAAGUGGAUAUAUGAUUAUGACAAUAUUUAUUUAUGUCUUGACCAAGUCACGUGCCAGCAGUCGCGGUAAUACGUGGAAGAUUAKUGUUAUUCAUUUUUAACAGGUUUAAAGGGUACCUAGACGGUUAAUUAAGCACUAAAAUGUACUAAUUAACUAGAGUUUAAUGUAAGAAAGAUUGAGUACGGUGAGUGUAGAGAUAAAAUUCUAUGAUACCACUUAGGAACUGGUAAAGGCGAAGGCAACUUUUUAUGUAAAAACUGACGUUAAGGGACGAAGGCUCGUAUCAAAUAACAGGAUUAGAUACCCUAGUAUUGUGGGCAGACAAUGAUGAGUGUCAUAUGCAAGAAAGGAAUAUUUUUUGUGUAUAAAUGAAAGUGUAAGCACUCCACCUCAAGAGUAACGUGGCAACAUGGGAACUGAAAUCAUUAGACCGUUUCUGAAACUCGUAGUGAAGUAUGUUGUUUAAUUUGACACCACACAAAUAACCUUACCACAACUUGUAUAACUACACUAUAUAAUAAUGUAGCUACAAGCGUUGCACGGCUGUCUUCAGUCAAUGUUGUGAAACUGUGGUUAGAUCCAUUAAAUUGACGUAAACCCUUACUUUAUUUUAAAUAAAGUAGUUCGCCGCUAUA